GGAUGUGAGGGCGAUCUGGCUGCGACAUCUGUCACUCCACUGAUUGCCAGGGCUGAUUUGGCUGAUCUGGCUGGCCAGGCGGAUGUCCCCUUCCUCCCUCACUGCUCCAUGUGUGUCCCUCCUGAAGCUGCACACUGAGUUGAAGAGGACGACCACCCCUGAUAGAGGAGGACUCUUUCCUCCAUCAAGGACAUAUGAGUAGCUGUGCUCCGCUGCUAGAAUCUCCAAACAAGUUCUCAAAAUUUUAAUAUUGGGAAAUAGAAAGAAAAUGUUCAAAUGGAA
rnacentral:snRNA from 1 species